AACGAACGCUGGCGGCGCGCCUAAUACAUGCAAGUCGAGCGAGAAGGUGUAGCAAUACACUUGUAAAGCGGCGAACGGGUGAGGAAUACAUGGGUAACCUACCCUCGAGUGGGGAAUAACUAGCCGAAAGGUUAGCUAAUACCGCGUACGCUUCCGGAACUGCGGUUCCGGAAGGAAAGCGAUACUGUGAGUAUCGCGCUCUUGGAUGGGCUCAUGUCCUAUCAGCUUGUUGGGAGGUAACGGCUCACCAAGGCUUCGACGGGUAGCUGGUCUGGGAGGACGAUCAGCCACACUGGCACUGCGACACGGGCCAGACUCCUACGGGAGGCAGCAGUAAGGAAUAUUGCGCAAUGGACGACAGUCUGACGCAGCGACGCCGCGUGGGGGAUGAAGGUCUUCGGAUUGUAAACCCCUUUCGGGAGGGAAGAUGGAAUGGGGUAACCCGAUUCGGACGGUACCUCCAGAAGCAGCCACGGCUAACUUCGUGCCAGCAGCCGCCGU
rnacentral:rRNA from 1 species